rnacentral:rRNA from 1 species
CCUACGGGAGACAGCAGUGGGGAAUAUUGCACAAUGGGCGAAAGCCUGAUGCAGCAACGCCGCGUGAGCGAUGAAAGCCCUCGGGUCGUAAAGCUCUGUUCUCAAGGAAGAUAAUGACGGUACUUGAGGAGGAAGCCCCGGCUAACUACGUGCCAGCAGCCGCGGUAAUACGUAGGGGGCUAGCGUUAUCCGGAAUUACUGGGCGUAAAGGGUGCGUAGGUGGUUUCUUAAGUCAGAGGUGAAAGGCUAGGGCUCAACCGUAGUAAGCCUUUGAAACUGGGUGACUUGAGUGCAGGAGAGGAGAGUGGAAUUCCUAGUGUAGCGGUGAAAUGCGUAGAUAUUAGGAGGAACACCAGUUGCGAAGGCGGCUCUCUGGACUGUAACUGACACUGAGGCACGAAAGCGUGGGGAGCAAACAGGAUUAGAUACCCUAGUAGUC